rnacentral:rRNA from 1 species
AAGCCUACCAAGGCAACGAUCAGUAGCCGGCCUGAGAGGGUGAACGGCCACAUUGGGACUGAGACACGGCCCAAACUCCUACGGGAGGCAGCAGUGGGGAAUAUUGCACAAUGGGGGAAACCCUGAUGCAGCGACGCCGCGUGAGUGAAGAAGUAUUUCGGUAUGUAAAGCUCUAUCAGCAGGGAAGAAAUACUGACCAUAGGGUCAGCAGACGGUACUUGACUAAGAAGCCCCGGCUAACUACGUGCCAGCAGCCGCGGUAAUACGUAGGGGGCAAGCGUUAUCCGGAUUUACUGGGUGUAAAGGGAGCGUAGACGGCAGCGCAAGUCUGAAGUGAAAUGCCAGGGCUUAACCCUGGAACUGCUUUGGAAACUGUGCAGCUAGAGUGCAGGAGAGGUAAGUGGAAUUUCUAGUGUAGCGGUGAAAUGCGUAGAUAUUAGGAGGAACACCAGUGGCGAAGGCGGCUUACUGGACUGUAACUGACGUUGAGGCUCGAAAGCGUGGGGAGCAAACAGGAUUAGAUACCCUGGUAGUCCACGCUGUAAACGAUGAUUACUAGGUGUUGGGGGACCAAGGUUCUUCG